CUUCUUAGGAUGCUUCAUGUCGAGAUCAAUAUUUCCUUUUAUCAAAUACUUUUAUGUUUAUGACCAAAUACCUGUAGAACUGAUGACACUUGACUGAGCCAACGCUGUAGAAAAUGGAAAAGCAAGUCAAGACUCAGUGAGACUGACAGGCGUCCGUCAUUAAAGCUGCAACUCAAGCUCAUCAUUGGAGCUGAGAGACGGCGCCAUGUGAGAAAGACUGGCAGGUCCCGGUACGAGGCGGACGGCGACUGAGACUCAGUGUAAUAGCAUUAGACCUGCACGGAGAGAAAGGAAGGCUGGCCCGUGGUAAUGAGCAAUUUCCUCUGGGUUAAAUGGUCCUUUGCUCUGCAGCAUGACGUUCCCAGGCUUUGGGCGGAUGCAUUGUGUGAGAACUGGGUUGAACUGAGUGGACGACAGAGAAAUAAUGGGAUUCAAGGACACGGCAAGCAAGCUCCAUGAAGCCUCGAGAUUUUCCCAAGGAGCGAGCUGUGCUGCUCCCAUAUUUGAUGUCUUACCGGGUUUACCGCAGCGGACAUGCAGUUUCACCGAGACAAGAGCCAAAAUACAGGAUCACACACACACAGUGUAUCCUGCUGGUUGCUACGCAUCAUCAUAACGAGAGCGAUUGAUAGAGAUGAAGAGAUACACAGCGAGAGGGGAAUGAAAGCCAUUCCUCCAGUCGGCUGCCGCUUUUUUUCAUGUGCACCAUGGAAGCACUCCAACUCCUCUGGAGCCGGGCCCCCCACAAUCAUCAGGCAUUAUAAAGAGUGAGACACAUCGAGUGCAACUGGGAUAACACACUUUUUUUUUUUAAUUGACAUCUCCGGUUGGACAACAGAUUGCAGACGGGGGAGAAACGCAGCCCUCUAUUUGGCCGCCUCCCCUCUGCAGUCCUUCAUUAUUUGAGGGCAUUAAAACCAAAUGAAUGUCUCCCAGACGGGAACUAAUCCCUAUGGCCUGGUGCUCCGUCUUGGCACCACCACCUUUGAUUAUUCAACAUCAAUCUGCCACAGAGAGAAUGAAAGGAGCACAAUCCGAUUAGUGACAGGUACACUCUCUGAGAUAACAGCAUUUGCUCCCUGAAGACGAAGCCAUCUGCUGGCCCUGGACAUGCUCUCCUCAUCCAUUCAUCCCCACCCAUCCCACCAGUGGUUUCCUAAUCAUUUCUGACAAGCCUCCCUUUGAUUAUUUAGAAACACUGAAGGACAAAAGUAGGGGUGUGUGUUCUCUCUCUCUCUCGAUUACAUUUAAUUGAAAUGUUGCUUGAAUGUUCCAAUUUUCCCAAAUUGUCUUAACAAUGUGGGGAUGACUUUUUGCCGGCAAGUAAAUUUAGUUAUUAAGCUUCUCCUGAACCUCCAGCUCUAAUAAUCCGUCUGUCUUUUCAUUGGUGGGGAAACCUGAACAGGGUUGACCUGUAGAUUGGAGCCAUCCUUCUCCCAAUCCCUCCUAUUAGCACCUCAAGGCCUUUCCUCAUCAAGCGAGUGGUGGAUUUCAUCUGGUAUUGUGCUGACAGCUCAUAGAUUAGACCCUCAAUCUCAACUACCUCCUCCCUCCCUCACCACCUCUGUCUACCUCUCCAUUGAGAGCUCCAAUCAUUCUUCUCUGGCUAAGUGUCAAUAAACCCACCCACACACACACACACAGGAUCUGAUUCCAGCCCAGGCUCAUUCAGCACUUUGUAGAAAAUGACAAAGUAAAAACUAUUAUAUUUCAAUUUAACAAUACAUUAACUUAAGCAAGAGUUUUAUUAGGGUCUAUUAAAAUGCUAUAUGCCUUGACUGGUAUUUGGAAUGUAGAGGAGUUUAUGAAGUGAAACCUGAUAUAAUUCAAGUGGCUUUUCCUCACCCUCAAAAACCAUUAAAAAAAGCAAC
ensembl:lncRNA